UUCCUGUGGCUCAGUGGUUAGAGCUCUCGCCUCGUAAGCGAGAGGACCCGGGUUCGGUUCCCGGGCGGGUCAG